rnacentral:miRNA from 1 species
CACCAUGGACGGUUUACC